AUUGAACGCUGGCGGCAGGCCUAACACAUGCAAGUCGAGCGGCAGCGGGAAAGUAGCUUGCUACUUUUGCCGGCGAGCGGCGGACGGGUGAGUAAUGCCUGGGAAAUUGCCCAGUCGAGGGGGAUAACAGUUGGAAACGACUGCUAAUACCGCUUACGCCCUACGGGGGAAAGCAGGGGACCUUCGGGCCUUGCGCGAUUGGAUAUGCCCAGGUGGGAUUAGCUAGUUGGUGAGGUAAUGGCUCACCAAGGCGACGAUCCCUAGGUGGUCUGAGAGGAUGAUCAGCGACACUGGAGCUGAGACACGGGCCAGACUCCUACGGGAGGCAGCAGUGGGGAAUAUUGCACAAUGGGGGAAACCCUGAUGCAGCCAUGCCGCGUGUGUGAAGAAGUCCUUCGGGUUGUAAAGCACUUUCAGCGAGGAGGAAAGGUUGAUGCCUAAUACGUAUCAACUGUGACGUUACUCGCAGAAGAAGCACCGGCUAACUCCGUGCCAGCCGCCGCGGUAA
rnacentral:rRNA from 1 species